UAGGGAAUAUUGCAAAAUGGGCGAAAGCCCGAUGCAGCAACGCCGCGUGGGCGAUGAAGGCCUUCGGGUCGUAAAGCCCUUUUUGAGGGGAUGAGGAAGGACAGUACCCUCAGAAUAAGCCUCGGCUAACUACGUGCCAGCAGCCGCGGUAAAACGUAGGAGGCGAGCGUUAUCCGGAUUUACUGGGCGUAAAGCGCGUGCAGGCGGAUUGGAGAGUUGGAUGUGAAAGCUCCCGGCUUAACUGGGAGAGGUCGUUCAAUACUUCCAGUCUUGAGUGCAGUAGAGGGAAGUGGAAUUCCGGGUGUAGUGGUGAAAUGCGUAGAUAUCCGGAGCAACACCAGUGGCGAAAGCGGCUUCCUGGACUGUAACUGACGCUCAGACGCGAAAGCUAGGGUAGCAAACG
rnacentral:rRNA from 1 species